GAAGACGCGCGGUUUUCGCGUUAACGCGGAGGUAAACGCGAAAGUAAACGCCCGUUUACUAUUUAUGUCUACUAAAAUUUCGGAGUUAACGCAGAGUUAACGUGGCGUUUACAUGAAGUGCACGCGAGUAAACGCCGCGUUCACUUUUUAGGCCCGUUUACAUGUAAUGCUUGGUCUGCACCCAACUGUAUUUAUGAAAUCUGAAAUGAGAAAAAAUUUAAAAACCCCCCCCCCCCUUUUUUUCACAUCCCCGUUUCCCUUUUUCCAAAACUGAUAUCAAUUCAAAUUUCUAAUGGAGUUUGCAACAAUAACUACUCUUUUAAAUACAUCAUAAAAUAUUAAAAUGUAAAAUAAAGUGCUUGUUAUCACUGAAUGGUAAAGAUUGGUUGGUAGUAAAAGUAAAUAUACAUU
rnacentral:lncRNA from 1 species